UACGGAGGGGGCUAGCGUUGUUCGGAAUUACUGGGCGUAAAGCGCGCGUAGGCGGACCUGCAAGUCGGGGGUGAAAGCCCGAGGCUCAACCUCGGAACUGCCUUCGAUACUGCGGGUCUCGAGUCCGGGAGAGGUGAGUGGAAUUCCUAGUGUAGAGGUGAAAUUCGUAGAUAUUCGGAAGAACACCAGUGGCGAAGGCGACACACUGGCCCGUUACUGACGCUGAGGCGCGAAAGCGUGGGGAGCAAACAGG
rnacentral:rRNA from 1 species